rnacentral:rRNA from 1 species
CCUACGGGAGGCAGCAGUGGGGAAUAUUGCACAAUGGGGGAAACCCUGAUGCAGCGACGCCGCGUGAGUGAGGAAGUAUUUCGGUAUGUUAAGCUCUAUCAGUAGGGAAGUAAAUGACGGCACCUGACUAAUAAUCCCCGGCUAACUACGUGCCAGCAGCCGCGGUACUAUGUAGGGGGCAAGCGUUAUCCGGAUUUACUGGGUGUAAAGGGGGUGUAGACGGUUAAUCAAGUCAGAAGUGAAAACCCAGGGCUCAACCUUGGGACUGCUUUUGAAACUGAGUAGCUAGAGUGCAGGAGAGGUAAGCGGAAUUCCUAGUGUAGCGGUGAAAUGUGUAGAUAUUAGGAGGAACACCAGUGGCGAAGGCGGCUUACUGGACUGUAACUGACGUUGAGGCUCGAAAGCGUGGGGAGCAAACAGGAUUAGAUACCCCAGUAGUC